rnacentral:rRNA from 1 species
ACGAGUUAGGGUCUCUCUGGCCCGACCUCCCAACCCUUUGUCUACUUGACCAUCGUUGCUUCGGCGAGCCCGUCCUCACGGACCGCCGGAGGGAUCUUUACUGGCCCUCUGGUCCGCGCUCGUCGGUAGCCCAACCUUUAAAAUCUUUAACUAAACGUGCCUUAAUCUAAGUACAAUUAUUAAAUAAAAGCAAAACUUUCAACAACGGAUCUCUUGGUUCUGGCAUCGAUGAAGAACGCAGCGAAAUGCGAUAAGUAAUGCGAAUUGCAGAAUUCCAGUGAGUCAUCGAAUCUUUGAACGCACAUUGCGCCCUUUGGUAUUCCGAAGGGCAUGCCUGUUCGAGCGUCAUUAUCACCCCUCAAAGCCCUCGGCUUGGUGUUGGACGGUUUGGUGGAGGCCCCCUCGGGGGCUCCUGCCCCUCCCAAAGACAAUGACGGCGGCCUCGUUGGACCCCCGGUACACUGAGUUCUUCACGGGACCCGUAUCGGACACUUGGGUUUACGGGAC